GGCGAAGGGAGCCGCGGGGUGGGAGAGGAGGGAGUCCCGGCGGGAGGGCGGGGGAGAGACUGGCGGGAGGGGGGCUCCACGGAGCUCCAGCCAGGGCCGCGGUGCGCCUGCACGUCACGGCUACUCAAACCCAAGCACGUCCCGAAAGCGGUAUUUUCUGCGUCUGGGAGGUUUUUGCAUCCUCAGUUCCCACCGCUGGGGCUGGCGGCGACCAACUGUAAGAGAAACUCACUGGGAGGCGAGGCAGGGGGGUGCGGAGGAUGGGAAGGCGACUCUGAAGGGUGGGAAGUGAAUGCUGGACUUGAUCGUCUUUCUCUUUCUUUCAGCGCAGACCUGUCGCAGCCAGAGAGCUGUCAUUUCAGUACCGGGAUUCAGAAUUGAUCCAGUCCGCAGCGGAGGGGGCACAUCCCAGCUACCGAGCUGCUGAGUGUCUCUGGCUGGAACAAUAGUAUUUUUUUCUCUGCGAGGCUGCAAUUAACAUCUUAUUUUUUCUGGCUCCAUACAGGCUUUGUCAGGAUCGCGGUGCGGCGACCGACGUUGGGCUCUUGCAUUGCUUUCUGCUUGGCAAUGGAAUCAUGGUUUCGGGAUAGUCAUUUUGCCUCCUGGACAGUUGGCUGACGAAGUGUCUGAUAAACCAGCUUCAGAUACAUGCUACAAAAGGCUACUGAGCUGGCCUGAUGAUGAUCCUGCUGAGAUAUAUUUAUAGCAGAUGAUUUGUGGAUGAUAACUACGCCAAGCAAGACACUGUCUCUAGUAACCCCAGGCUCGUCUGACUUCCUCAGGGGAUUAUAAUAAAGAAUCACAAAAAGAACCCUAUAUGGACAGUCUGGUCUCUGGACACUAACAACAGCACAAUCCAAAGGCAAAGCAAGGAGGAACCACCUUGUUUCAUGUCUGCAAGAUGCUCCAUAUGAAAGCAUUACUGACAUGUUGACCCAACAGCAAAAAGAGAGCAGCAGUUUACACACCCUCAGCUCUCUGUCCUUUCCUUUCUAUUGAUGUUGGUCCACUUUUAUGACUGAAUACAUAUUAAAAU
rnacentral:lncRNA from 1 species